ACGAACGCUGGCGGCGUGCCUAAUACAUGCAAGUCGAACGAGAGCGACCGGUGCUUGCACUGGUCAAUCUAGUGGCGAACGGGUGAGUAACACGUGGGUAACCUGCCCAUCAGAGGGGGAUAACAUCCGGAAACGGAUGCUAAAACCGCAUAGGUCUUCGAACCGCAUGGUUUGAAGAGGAAAAGAGGCGCAAGCUUCUGCUGAUGGAUGGACCCGCGGUGCAUUAGCUAGUUGGUGAGGUAACGGCUCACCAAGGCCGUGAUGCAUAGCCGACCUGAGAGGGUGAUCGGCCACAUUGGGACUGAGACACGGCCCAAACUCCUACGGGAGGCAGCAGUAGGGAAUCUUCCGCAAUGGACGCAAGUCUGACGGAGCAACGCCGCGUGAGUGAAGAAGGUUUUCGGAUCGUAAAACUCUGUUGUUAGAGAAGAACAAGUGCUAGAGUAACUGUUAGCGCCUUGACGGUGUCUAACCAGAAAGCCACGGCUAACUACGUG
rnacentral:rRNA from 1 species